UACGUAGGUGGCAAGCGUUGUCCGGAUUUAUUGGGUUUAAAGGGUGCGUAGGCGGUUCCAUAAGUCAGUGGUGAAAUACAAUAGCUUAACUAUUGAGGUGCCACUGAUACUGCGGAACUUGAGUACAGACGAGGUAGGCGGAGUUGACGGUGUAGCGGUGAAAUGCUUAGAUAUCGUCAAGAACACCGAUAGCGAAGGCAGCUUACUAGACUGUAACUGACGCUGAGGCACGAAAGUGUGGGGAUCAAACAGG
rnacentral:rRNA from 1 species